rnacentral:lncRNA from 1 species
AGGCGUGAGGAGCAUUCUGGUGAGCGAGGGUAGAGGGCUGCUGGCUGGGGCUGCAGGUCCUCGCUGGGCGAUCCGGGCUUGAUGUGCAGACGGCACGGAGCGUGUCCGCGGGCUGGGGUCCUCACCUGUCGGGGUCCCCCAGGCUCGUGGCGGUUUUCUAGGAACUAACCGGAGCAGCAUCCUCUGUCCCCAUUGUAGUCUCCCGAGAGUGCUGCUGCUGGUGGUGACCCUCGUCGAUGGUCCUCUUGGGCGUGUGGCAAACGCUCCUGGGUGGCGGUUGGCUUUCCCGGGUUUUCCGUGCCACCCUUGUGGGUUUUGUCAGAUGAGUCCGCCACUCGUUUACCUGUCACCGGCAGCCUCCUGCGGUCCUCUGAGAGAGGCGUUACCAUCGUCGCGCCGCACCAGACUCCAAGGAGUCGCAGAAAAGAGCUUUUAUUGCUGGAGCAGAAAGGCUGAGAGCGCGAAGUGCGGACGUUACAAGGGCAAAGAAGCUUGGCUUGGCUUUUCUUUAUGUUGUCCGCUCUAUUUCCUAGCUAGCUGGCUGGACUUAGUGUAUUUGCUUCAUUAAAUAUUUUGCUUAUCUUAAUUUCUAAGAAAAGGAAAACAAGAAUUUUUUUUCUUAAGUUAUACUGCAAAGGGCUCGGGCAGUAAGAAGAGGUGCCACCUGCUCCGUUUUAAUGAAGAUUUUAAAUGCAGUCACUAUAGUCCUGUCUGUCUGGCAGCUUCUGUAGUCCAGGUUGGCUUCACAUUGGUAAAGAUCCCUCUGCCUCAGUCACUCAAGCUCUGUGAUUCCUGAUAUUUACCACUAUCCUGUCUCACAGCCCAUCCGCCCCUCCCCCCUUUUUUCUUGGAGACGAGAUUUUAUUAUGUAGCCCAAACUGACUUUUGAACACAUUAUAUAGCAAAAGCUGAUCUGGAACAUCUCGUCAGCCAGCUCUCAGUCUGACCUGUUCUCAUUGCAGGCAUGUCCCGCCACACAGUUUUAUGCAGUCCAGGAGAUCAAACACAGGCGUUUGAGUAUGCUAGGCCAGCACUCUACCAGCUGAGUAAUAUUCCCAACUUCACAGUCACUUUUUAAACCUAUAGUUACUUUGGUAGAAGAAAACUUGGGUCUGGUCUGCAUGCCAUAAAUAGGAAAUGGCUUCCACUUGUCUUAUGAUAUUGAUAUAACUGCAUAGUAUACAUAGUAUGAUGAAAACAUUUAUUAAUAAAUUCUGUCUUGGUUUCCUUGUCU